rnacentral:tRNA from 1 species
UGGCCUGUAGCUCAGUUGGUUAGAGCAGUCGUCUUAUAAGCGAAAGAUCUUGGGUUCAAGUCCCAACAGGCCAACCA